GCGGUGGAAAAGAAACCAAAAGGGAUUCCGAUAGUAACGGCGAGCGAACUCGGAACAGCUCAGCGCCAAGUCCCGUCGUCAGCAGGCGUACGGGAGAUGCGGCGUGAAUGUAGCAGUGCAUCGUGCUUUGCCUGUGUAACGCAAGUUCCUCUGACAAGGACUUUUUCCAUAGCGGGUGCUAGGCCCAUAGCGGUUACGAGGCUAUUGCGCGCAUACUGUUGCAUGCUAGAGUCAGGUUGCUUGAAAGUGCAGCCCAAAGUAGGUGGUAAACUCCACCUAAGGCUAAAUAUUACUGCGAGACCGAUAGCAAACAAGUACCGUGAGGGAAAGUUGCAAAGAACUUUGAAGAGAGAGUUCAAUAGGACGUGAAACCGUUUGUAGGUAAACAGAUGGAACCACGAAGUUUGCCGGAAAGAGGAUUCAACUGUUCCGGGGACGGCAGUUGUCGGCGCUAUAUGCGGCCUUGUCUAGAGGCAGGCGUCGGCGACAGUCAAUGCUGUUCUCGGGCGGUGCAUUUCUUCACUUCCGUGCUAAAGCCAUGACUAGUUGGCAGGCUAGAGCGACCGUAUGCGAGGGCGGCCGGCAGGUAGCUAGAUACGCACUUCGUGUGUGUAUGCUGGCGUUAUAGCUGGCCGCUCGGAGCUUCUCAAGCUGCUCAAGCUCACCGACUAGCGUAAUUUCUCCGUCUAUGCGGAGUACGCAAGUAAAGCGGGCGCGCAGUAUCGCUGCCGAGACAAGCGCUGCCUCUGCGGGCCUUUCUGUGUUACCACGGAAAGACUGCACUGGCGGCCUGUCUAUGCUGGUGGCGAUAGCCUCUGCGCGGCCGUGGCAAUCGAUGGCUAGUAGGUCGGUAUCCAUCUGACCC
rnacentral:rRNA from 1 species